GUAAAUAUAGUUUAACCAAAACAUUAGAUUGUGAAUCUAAUAAUAGAAGCUAAAACUUCUUAUUUACC
rnacentral:tRNA from 1 species